ensembl:lncRNA
GGACAAUGUUGGAUGUAUAGAAAAAAACUCAAUCAACAUUUGUUGAAAGAAUGAGAAGCCCUUCCUGAUGAAAGAAGGGAUCUCUUCUCUUUUUUAAAAAAAAUUAUCAUUCAAGGAGUUUCCAAAGAGAAAGCGCGAGUGGAGAUGACCCUUAGUCAUCCACCCAGAUCAGGUGAAUUAACCCUGAAGGUCAACAGGAUGACAGAUGACAGCUGUCCCUGUCAGAUCACCCUCUCAUCCAUAGCUUCAACCUUGGAAUUGCCCUCAGGCUUGGCUUGUGAUCAGCAGAGGAAAAUAGGUUGUGUUAUAUUUAUAGUCACAGUUCAUUUUUGAUCUAAAUUUGUACUUUUGCCCACAUUAAUCACUCACCUUAUUUACCCAAUUGAUACUUAAUGAUGUGUGUUCACUUCCAAAAACCACAUUCAUAUUGAAAGGCUGACCCAUAUACAGAAUAUUGAAAAAACUAUCUGACCCCUGAAAAGGAAUUUCCAAGUUUUUGCAUCAAUAGAUAGACUGUGCUGGAAUCUCUGAGGGUGUUGAGUUUAUAUAAAUAAGGCUUGAAAAAACCGUUGCAGGCCAGUAUUUUUAAGAAUGCAGCCAGAUAACUUUCCAGACUUGCUUGAUGUAUACUCAUUCAUGACUUUUGAGAGGCAAUGAAAUUGCAUAGUACCUAAAUUCUGCUGCAGGUGACUUUACAUAUAUGCUACCCUGCAUUUAUAACUUAGUAUUUAUACCUCGGCAUCUAUAACCUAAAUCUUCACUUUAUGGGAGAGGAAACAGGACCACAGAGUGACUUUCUCAAAAAGGACCCUGAGUCACUCUGGCUUUCCGGUGUGUGCCUAGCUGCAGGUGUUAUUGAAGAAGGGUUCAGGCACUUGUUUGCCCUGAGCUCUGUUAGGAAGUCAUUUCUGGAGGAUCUGGCCAUUUUUCCAGCCACCACUAUAACUCUGGAUAGUAAUUGCAUGGUAUUCUGGGUGGUUGGGUUGAAGACCUGGAUGACAGGGGUCUCAGGCAGUGAGAAGUUUCCUUCUCACUUGACAAGGAGUACCCUGGGGACAUUUUGAGGUUAAUAUGGGGGAGUAUGGGGCUUCCCUGGUAGCUCAUCUGGUAAAGAAUUUGCCUGCAAUUCAGGAGACCUUGGUUCAAUUCUUGGGUUGAGAAGAUCUCCUGGAGAAGGGAUAGGCUACCCACUCCAGUAUUCUUGGGCUACCCUGGUGGCUUAGAUGGUAAAGAAUCUGACUGCAAUGUGGGAGACCUGGGUUCAAUCCCUGGGUUGGGAAGAUUCCCUGGAGGAGAGAGUGGCAACCCACUCCAAUAUUCUUGCCUAGAGAAUCCCCAUGAACAGAGGAGCCUGGCAGGUGGCAAUCCAUUGGAUCGCAGAGAGUCGGACACAACUGAGCAACUAAGCACAGAGCAGCACCUGGGGGAAAUUUCAAGGUAACAUAAGCCAGCUUGGCUGAGAGAUGCCUAGUUAAGAGAGAUGGACAAGCCACAGUUACCAUCACAUCAACUUUUCAACUCCUGCGAUAAUGUGCAACUACCUGGGUGAGUAAGCUUGAGUCCCUCAUUCAUGGUACUAUUAAAAAGAAACAUUAACAAACUACUAGAACUGAGACAAACAUUGAAAAUGAACUUUUCC